GGGUUGUGAGGUUAAGCGACUAAGCGUACACGGUGGAUGCCCUGGCAGUCAGAGGCGAUGAAGGACGUGCUAAUCUGCGAUAAGCGUCGGUAAGGUGAUAUGAACCGUUAUAACCGGCGAUUUCCGAAUGGGGAAACCCAGUGUGAUUCGUCACACUAUCAUUAACUGAAUCCAUAGGUUAAUGAGGCGAACCGGGGGAACUGAAACAUCUAAGUACCCCGAGGAAAAGAAAUCAACCGAGAUUCCCCCAGUAGCGGCGAGCGAACGGGGAGCAGCCCAGAGCCUGAAUCAGUGUGUGUGUUAGUGGAAGCGUCUGGAAAGGCGCGCGAUACAGGGUGACAGCCCCGUACACAAAAAUGCACAUGCUGUGAGCUCGAUGAGUAGGGCGGGACACGUGGUAUCCUGUCUGAAUAUGGGGGGACCAUCCUCCAAGGCUAAAUACUCCUGACUGACCGAUAGUGAACCAGUACCGUGAGGGAAAGGCGAAAAGAACCCCGGCGAGGGGAGUGAAAAAGAACCUGAAACCGUGUACGUACAAGCAGUGGGAGCACGCUUCGGCGUGUGACUGCGUACCUUUUGUAUAAUGGGUCAGCGACUUAUAUUCUGUAGCAAGGUUAACCGAAUAGGGGAGCCGAAGGGAAACCGAGUCUUAACUGGGCGUUAAGUUGCAGGGUAUAGACCCGAAACCCGGUGAUCUAGCCAUGGGCAGGUUGAAGGUUGGGUAACACUAACUGGAGGACCGAACCGACUAAUGUUGAAAAAUUAGCGGAUGACUUGUGGCUGGGGGUGAAAGGCCAAUCAAACCGGGAGAUAGCUGGUUCUCCCCGAAAGCUAUUUAGGUAGCGCCUCGUGAAUUCAUCUCCGGGGGUAGAGCACUGUUUCGGCAAGGGGGUCAUCCCGACUUACCAACCCGAUGCAAACUGCGAAUACCGGAGAAUGUUAUCACGGGAGACACACGGCGGGUGCUAACGUCCGUCGUGAAGAGGGAAACAACCCAGACCGCCAGCUAAGGUCCCAAAGUCAUGGUUAAGUGGGAAACGAUGUGGGAAGGCCCAGACAGCCAGGAUGUUGGCUUAGAAGCAGCCAUCAUUUAAAGAAAGCGUAAUAGCUCACUGGUCGAGUCGGCCUGCGCGGAAGAUGUAACGGGGCUAAACCAUGCACCGAAGCUGCGGCAGCGACGCUGAUGCGUUGUUGGGUAGGGGAGCGUUCUGUAAGCCUGUGAAGGUGUGCUGUGAGGCAUGCUGGAGGUAUCAGAAGUGCGAAUGCUGACAUAAGUAACGAUAAAGCGGGUGAAAAGCCCGCUCGCCGGAAGACCAAGGGUUCCUGUCCAACGUUAAUCGGGGCAGGGUGAGUCGACCCCUAAGGCGAGGCCGAAAGGCGUAGUCGAUGGGAAACAGGUUAAUAUUCCUGUACUUGGUGUUACUGCGAAGGGGGGACGGAGAAGGCUAUGUUGGCCGGGCGACGGUUGUCCCGGUUUAAGCGUGUAGGCUGGUUUUCCAGGCAAAUCCGGAAAAUCAAGGCUGAGGCGUGAUGACGAGGCACUACGGUGCUGAAGCAACAAAUGCCCUGCUUCCAGGAAAAGCCUCUAAGCAUCAGGUAACAUCAAAUCGUACCCCAAACCGACACAGGUGGUCAGGUAGAGAAUACCAAGGCGCUUGAGAGAACUCGGGUGAAGGAACUAGGCAAAAUGGUGCCGUAACUUCGGGAGAAGGCACGCUGAUAUGUAGGUGAAGUCCCUCGCGGAUGGAGCUGAAAUCAGUCGAAGAUACCAGCUGGCUGCAACUGUUUAUUAAAAACACAGCACUGUGCAAACACGAAAGUGGACGUAUACGGUGUGACGCCUGCCCGGUGCCGGAAGGUUAAUUGAUGGGGUCAGCGCAAGCGAAGCUCUUGAUCGAAGCCCCGGUAAACGGCGGCCGUAACUAUAACGGUCCUAAGGUAGCGAAAUUCCUUGUCGGGUAAGUUCCGACCUGCACGAAUGGCGUAAUGAUGGCCAGGCUGUCUCCACCCGAGACUCAGUGAAAUUGAACUCGCUGUGAAGAUGCAGUGUACCCGCGGCAAGACGGAAAGACCCCGUGAACCUUUACUAUAGCUUGACACUGAACAUUGAGCCUUGAUGUGUAGGAUAGGUGGGAGGCUUUGAAGUGUGGACGCCAGUCUGCAUGGAGCCGACCUUGAAAUACCACCCUUUAAUGUUUGAUGUUCUAACGUUGACCCGUAAUCCGGGUUGCGGACAGUGUCUGGUGGGUAGUUUGACUGGGGCGGUCUCCUCCUAAAGAGUAACGGAGGAGCACGAAGGUUGGCUAAUCCUGGUCGGACAUCAGGAGGUUAGUGCAAUGGCAUAAGCCAGCUUGACUGCGAGCGUGACGGCGCGAGCAGGUGCGAAAGCAGGUCAUAGUGAUCCGGUGGUUCUGAAUGGAAGGGCCAUCGCUCAACGGAUAAAAGGUACUCCGGGGAUAACAGGCUGAUACCGCCCAAGAGUUCAUAUCGACGGCGGUGUUUGGCACCUCGAUGUCGGCUCAUCACAUCCUGGGGCUGAAGUAGGUCCCAAGGGUAUGGCUGUUCGCCAUUUAAAGUGGUACGCGAGCUGGGUUUAGAACGUCGUGAGACAGUUCGGUCCCUAUCUGCCGUGGGCGCUGGAGAACUGAGGGGGGCUGCUCCUAGUACGAGAGGACCGGAGUGGACGCAUCACUGGUGUUCGGGUUGUCAUGCCAAUGGCACUGCCCGGUAGCUAAAUGCGGAAGAGAUAAGUGCUGAAAGCAUCUAAGCACGAAACUUGCCCCGAGAUGAGUUCUCCCUGAC
rnacentral:rRNA from 1 species